AAAGGGGAUUGGAGGAGGGCGAUACCAAGACAGAAUUCUGUUGCAUGCCCCAAGGAUCUAUUUUUCCUGGACUUACACACACUAUUUUCUGCACCAGCAGAUUCUAUUUAUAUAUAAAAUCGUUGAGACAGUUUUUGUUUUUGUUUUUGUUACUACAGCAGGUGCAAAUAAUAAUCUACGAGGAAGAAAUUGGCCCACAGUUCAGGGGUCUAAGUGCUGUCCCAUCCAUCAGAUUGGUCUCCAAUCCUCUUACUGAGAUCCCUGCAGAUUUUGAGUGGAAGGAAGCUGUAAUAACAGUAUCAACAGGACGAGAAAUGGAAACCAGGACUUUUGUAGGCAAACCAGGACACUCCCUUUCCAAAAUGACUGAUUCCAGUGACAUACAUUUAGAAUCAAUGAAAAUUAAGUUUGCUUUGCGGCGGAUGCUCAAGUCCUGCAAUUUGACGUGAACUCAGGUGGCUUUGAUACACUGUGAGGAUUCAACAUUCUUGGCUAAAACAUUCAACAUUCUUGGGAGCUGUGGGGCUUGGGGUGCAGAGAAUGGAAGAAAGAGGAGGAGCAAGAUGAGCGAGGAGACAGGUGAGAUCAAGGUCAAAUAGCAACGUGCCCCAUUAGGCCCUGCCAAGGAGGUUGGACUUAUCCCUGAAGACCGUAGGCAGCCAUUGGAAGGUUUUAGGCAGGAAAGGGAGAUAUUCUGAUUCAUGCUUUAGAAAAACAGGCUGGUGGAAGUGUCUAUAAAUUGGAAGAAGGCAAGAACAUAAAAAUGAGAUUAUUAAAAAAGCUCAGGCAAGAGAUGAUUAGGGUAAAAAGCUGGAGCCGGAGGGGCCAUGUUUGGCCCAUAUGAGAGACUGGCAAUCUCUCCAGCAAGAGAGAACCAUGGGGUGGGUGCUAUUUGACAUGCUUGCUGGCAUGAAGAGAGGAGAGAGGAAGAGAAGAGAGAGAAUACUUUAUUCCUCACACAACUGGAAAACUGAAAAUUCCCUUGCUCGUUACCCGCCCCCCCUGCCCCCUUCUUCCCAUGGAGUUCCUACCUCCCUUCAUUUCUACCUCAGUCUCCUCUCCUAUCUGGCCACUUCCCUCAUUAUACAGAAUGGCUGUCCUAACCCUAAUUCCGUAAGACCAGAUGAGCCUCUCCAAUAGAUGCUGACCCUCACAUUUCCCAAGGAGAGCUGACUGAUGAGUUUGCUUCAUCCUUUCACACGAGGCCAGUCCCAGCCAGCCUCUGGUUUGGCUCUCCCCGUGAGACGUCGCCUCUAGCUGAUUGGGGGAAGGGAGGUAGUCAGAUGGUGCAGAGCAUGGUACUAUGACAGAAGGACUACUGCAGGGCAGGUACCAUAAAUAUGUCUAGUAAAAAUGGACAGUAUAAAGUGAUUGAUUAAAUGGGAGGGAAAAGGACUGCAAAGCAAAAUAUGUUAUGUGCCAUGAGAGAGAGAUAAAUAAUCACCAUGGAGGUUCAGAGAGCAGAGGGGUCAAAUGUGUUUGGAUUGACCUUCCUUAAAAGUGUUUCAAUGAGCAGCAACUUACGAGGAGGGCUGCAAGAGUGUUCUGUUACUGCUGUAAUGAAUCACCACAAACUUUGCAGCUUAAAACAACAGAAAUUUGUUUUCUAGCAGUUCUGAGUGUCGGAAGCCCCUCCAGAGGCUCACAGGCUACAGUCAAGGUGUGAGCAGGACAGCAGUUCCUUUCUGGAUUCUCUAGGAGAACGUGGGUUUCCCUGUGCUCUCCAACUUCUCGAGGCUGCCCAUUUUCUCGACUUGUUGACCUCUUCUUCCAUCUUCAAAGCAACAAUAGUGGAUGGAGUUCCUAUCACAGCACUCUGACCUCCUCUGCUGCUUCUCUCUUCCACAUUUAAAGGCCCAUCAGGAUAGUCUGGCAUAAUCUCCCUUUUUUAAGGCCCCCCUUCAUUCCCCUUUGUCAUAUAAAGUAACACACAGUUUCAGAAUGUUAGGAUGUGGAGGACACGAGGUGACAGGCAGACUGGUUUGCCUCCUACCAGGGCAUUCAGGGGGACAUGGGCAAUGUAGAGAAGUAGGACGGUGAGGACUCCUCAGAGCAGUGUGAGUGGUCCAGUUUGGAGCUGAGAAUUUAUGAAAAGAAUUAUUAGAUGACAGAGAAAGGCAGCCUGUGGUCACAUUGCUUUUGGCCUUUUUCAUUGUAGCCAUUCUAUUGCUUGCAUAGUUGUAUCUCACCGUGAUUUUCAUUUGCAUAUCCCGACGGCUAAAGAUGCUGAACAAGGUUUCAUGUGUUUGUUAGCUGGUUGUGAAUUUUUUGUGUGUGAGUGUUGGGAUCAGAUUUGGGGUGCUGUACGUGUGGGGUGUUUUGUACAUUAUGCCCGGGGGAUGGAAUUUGCCUUGUAAGAGUAAGUGAUGGGCGCCGCUGAGGGUCUUACAGAAAGGAAUGAGAUCAUAGUACGUGCUUUAGAAAGAUAAAUUUAAUAUAUCAUAUAUAUGAUGAUAUCAAUGUGUAUACAUGUAGAUAUAGAUAGGAUGGGGACAUGGUGAAGUUGGACAAAACUUACCAUUUCAGGUAAGAGGUUAUUGAAAUAGUACAUGCUUAUGGUCUUCCAGAAUUCGGGUUAGGACAGAACUAGGCUGUGAACUAGAGAUGUGGCCCUGAAGACUUCUCAAGGAAAUAGAGAAAUAAUCACAUCGGGUGGCUGUAGAUUAGUGGUUAAGCUACUUUGUAGUCAACCUGCCUGGGUUUUUGCCAAACAUUAUAAAAAUUUCCUUUAAGAAAGCUUUUAAAGGGGAUAGCCCUGAGCUGUGGAGGUGGAUGCACACAGCCAAGGCUGGCAUCUCAGUGGAGAGGUGGAGCAAGGGAGGUGACCUCACCCCAGUGCCCUUGGGAGGUUCGGUGGGUGGGACCCAAGUGAGACUAUCAAAAUUAGGAAAAGGGUGUCAAGCCAUAAAGCUGUAUGGAAAUAUUAGAACAAGAGGAGCCAGAGGGGCCCUUGAGAAGCCAGGCAAGAAGCCAAGGAGCUAUCAGAGAGCAAGGGGAGGGCAAGAAGUAGCAAACAAAAUGAAGGGAGAUGCCUGUGGUAGGUCUUUUGUGUACUCCCAAUGUGUGAUCUCCUGGGGCCCAAAAGGGGAAAGAAUGAUGGGACCAUGAUAGGGAUUGGCUGGCAAGAUAUGGGGAGGUUUGCUUAGUUCAUGGCCAGAUGGAGCAACUGUGUUGACUCUUUGCAUGAUAUAGAUUCCAUUGUAUUAAUUCUUUCAAAUUAAUCGGUAGCCAGUGAUCUCUAGAGGAAGGGUUGGUGCCCACUUUUCCCUGCCAUGGGAUCAGAAAACUCUGUUUGCUAGCAGGCGAUAUUUGUAGGGAGGAGUGAAAUCAUUUAGUGUAGGCUUCUUUCCUGGAGGACACUGUCACCUUAUUCUGCAGAGAAGCUAUCACAAGCUGCUGUGUGAGGUCACACUGUGCAGCGAGAGUCGAGUAGGGGUAGCAUUGACCAUGUGUGCCCAUUCUCGGUUUGGUUCACUGGUUCACUCUGCUUGUCAUGAUGGCGGCCUGUGGAAAUAAAAUCCAGAAAAUACGAUGCCAAACAGUAGCCAGAGAAUUCACUAAUAAUCCCUUCUUGGUGUGUGUCUUAGAAGUAGCAUCAUGUUUUAAAAAAACAACCACAAGGGCACCUGGGUGGCUCAGUUGGUUAAACGUCUGCCUUCAGCUCAGAUCAUGAUCCCAGGGUCCUGGGAUCGAGCCCCGCGUUGGGCUCCCUGGUCAGUGGGGAGCCUGCUUCUCCCUCUCCCUCUGCCCCUCCCCCCUGCUUGUGUGUGCUCUCUCUCUCUCUCACUUUCUCGCUCUCAAAUAAAUAAAUAAAAUAGUAAACACACACACAGAACAGUAAUGUCACGUAAGAGAGAGAGGUGGGCCAAAGGCAGCCACUCAUAAACCACUCCAAGUGUGUAAUCUCCCCCACUUUCAUUUUCUUAUUUUUAAAUUUGUGGGGUGUGGACACAAAGGGGUCCACAUUUGCCAUCUCUGUUGUAGGGAAAUGGGCACUCUCACACCCACUGGUAAGUGUGGAAACUGGUACCACUUUUCUUGAGGUCAAUUUGGCAGUAUUAAUCAAAAUCCUUUCACAUG